CCCGCGGUUAGACGGAAAGACCCCGUGCACCUUUACUACAACUUCACACUGGCAUUAGGCCGAACAUGUGCAGGAUAGGUGGUGGGCUUUGAAACCGAGACGCCAGUCUCGGUGGAGCCUCCCUUGAGAUACCACCCUUGUUCUGCUUGAUGUCUAACCGCGGACCGUUAUCCGGUUCCGGGACCCUGUGUGGCGGGUAGUUUGACUGGGGCGGUCGCCUCCUAAAGCGUAAC
rnacentral:rRNA from 13 species